AAAUAUGUUCUAUGAGUUUCAGCAUAGUUUAUACUAAUGAGAGUAUAUUUUCAUAAAGCUCAAAGUUUGAGAUAAGAUAACCUCUAUAGAGCUCAACUCAAGGUAUAGGCUUAUUAUGUAACUAAGGCUAGUAAGUCCAUACAAGGAGGUUCAUCAAAAUCAAUCCAUAAAAUUCAAGGUAUGCAUCAAAUUAAAGUAACUUUAGGAUAAGAUACUGAAUAUCUAAAGCUCCCCCUCAAA
rnacentral:lncRNA from 1 species